GGAGCAGUGGCGGGGGUCCAUAUACGUGCAGUCGAGCGAACAGAGAAGGAGCUUGCUCCUUCGACGUUAGCGGCGGACGGGUGAGUAACACGUGGGCAACCUACCUUAUAGUUUGGGAUAACUCCGGGAAACCGGGGCUAAUACCGAAUAAUCUGUUUCACCUCAUGGUGAAACACUGAAAGACGGUUUCGGCUGUCGCUAUAGGAUGGGCCCGCGGCGCAUUAGCUAGUUGGUGAGGUAACGGCUCACCAAGGCGACUAUGCGUACCCCACCUGAGAGGGUGAUCGGCCAGGCUGGGACUGAGGCACGGCCCGCCCUCCUACGGGAGGCGGCGGCAGUGGAACUCCCACAAUGGGCGACCGCCUGAUGGGGCCACGCCGCGUGAUUUGAGAAGGAUUUCGUUCCGUAAAACUCUGUUGUAAGGGAAGAACAGUCAGAGUAGUAACUGGCCGUACCUUGACGGUACCUUAUUAGAAAGCCACGGCCAACUACGUGCCAGCGGGCGCGGGUUAAUACGUAAGUGGCAAGCGUGUGUCCGGAAUAAUUGCGGCGAAGGGCGCGCGCAGGUGGUUUCUUAGUUGUGAUUUGAAAGCCCCCGGCUCACCCGUGGAGGGUCAUUGGAAACUUGGAGACUUGAGUGCAGAAAGAGGAUAAGUGAACUCCGAGUGUAGCGGUGAAAUGGGUAGAGAUUUGGAGGACCACCAGUGGCGAAGGCGACUAUCUGGUCUGUAACUGACACUGAGGCGCGAAAGCGUGGGGAGCAAACAGGAUUAGAUACCCUGGUAGUCACGCCGUAAACGAUGAGUGCUAAGUGUAAGGGGGUUUCCGCCCCAUAGGUGGUGCAGCUAACGCAUUAAGCACUCCGGCUGGGGAGAACGGUCGCAAGACUGGAACUCAAAGGAAUUGACGGGGGCCCGCACACGCGGUGGGGCACGUUGUUGUUAAUUCGAAGCAACGCGGAGAACCUUACCGGGUCUUGAGAUCCCGUUGGCCACCGUGGAGAUAUAGUUUCCCCCUGGGGGGCAACGGUGGCAGGUUGCGCAUGGUUGUCGUCAGCUCGUGUCGUGCGAAGAUUGGUUAAGUCCCGCCACGAGCGCAACGCUUGGUCUCAUAUGCCAACAUAUAUUUGGGGCCCGUAGGGUGCGUGCCGGUGACAACCCGGAGUGGUGUGGUGAAGGCUUCCGGUCACCGUGCCCCUUAUGACCUGGGCUACACACGUGCUACAAUGGACGAUACAAACGGUUGCCAACUCGCGAGAGGGAGCUAAUCCGAUAAAGUCGUUCUCAGUUCGGAUUGUAGGCUGCAACUCGCCUACAUGAAGCCGGAAUCGCUAGUAAUCGCGGAUCAGCAUGCCGCGGUGAAUACGUUCCCGGGCCUUGUACACACCGCCCGUCACACCACGAGAGUUUGUAACACCCGAAGUCGGUGAGGUAACCUUUUGAGCCAGCCGCCGAAGGUGGAUAGAUAUUGUUG
rnacentral:rRNA from 1 species